rnacentral:rRNA from 1 species
UACGUAGGGGGCUAGCGUUAUCCGGAAUUACUGGGCGUAAAGGGUGCGUAUGCGGUCUUUCAAGCCAGAAGUGAAAGGCUACGGCUCAACCGUAGUAAGCUUUUGAAACUGGGAAACUUGAGUGCAGGAGAGGAGAGUGGAAUUCCUAGUGUAGCGGUGAAAUGCGUAGAUAUUAGGAGGAACACCAGUGGCGAAGGCGGCUUUCUGGACUGAUACUGACGCUGAGGAACGAAAGCGUGGGGAGCAAACAGGAUUAGAUACCCCCGUAGUCCCUGAGCGGG